UAGGGAAUCUUCGGCAAUGGGGGGAACCCUGACCGAGCAACGCCGCGUGAGUGAAGAAGGUUUUCGGAUCGUAAAGCUCUGUUGUUAAGGAAGAACGAGUGUGAGAAUGGAAAGUUCAUACUGUGACGGUACUUAACCAGAAAGCCACGGCUAACUACGUGCCAGCAGCCGCGGUAAUACGUAGGUGGCAAGCGUUGUCCGGAUUUAUUGGGCGUAAAGCGAGCGCAGGCGGUCAAUUAAGUCUGAUGUGAAAGCCCCCGGCUCAACCGGGGAGGGUCAUUGGAAACUGGUUGACUUGAGUGCAGAAGAGGAGAGUGGAAUUCCAUGUGUAGCGGUGAAAUGCGUAGAUAUAUGGAGGAACACCGGUGGCGAAAGCGGCUCUCUGGUCUGUAACUGACGCUGAGGCUCGAAAGCGUGGGGAGCGAACAGG
rnacentral:rRNA from 1 species